UACGUAGGUGGCAAGCGUUGUCCGGAUUUAUUGGGCGUAAAGCGCGCGUAGGCGGCCCGGUAAGUCCGUUGUGAAAGUCAAAGGCUCAACCUUUGAACGCCGAUGGAUACUGCCGGGCUAGAGUCCGGAAGAGGCGAGUGGAAUUCCUGGUGUAGCGGUGGAAUGCGCAGAUAUCAGGAGGAACACCAAUAGCGAAGGCAGCUCGCUGGGACGGUACUGACGCUGAGGCGCGAAAGCGUGGGGAGCGAACAGG
rnacentral:rRNA from 1 species